rnacentral:sRNA from 1 species
GCUGGGCAUGGUGGAGGGUGCCUGUAGUCCCAGCUACUCGGGAGGCUGAGGCAGGAGAAUCACUUGAACCCAGGAGGUGGAGUUUGCAGUGAGCUGAGAUCGCGCCACUGUACUCCAGCCUGGGCGACAGAGUGAGACUCUGUCUCAA